UUGAUUAUAGAUUCUUAAGUUUAUAAAAAUCAUUUUAGACUCAAAAUAAUUUUGAAGUUUAUCAAAGGAUUACUUUAAUAUCCAUGCUAAUGGGGGAUCGCUCCGAUACCACGCUGUGUCAGCCCUCCCAAGUUAUCAGGCCCACAUGCACCAAUCCUUGCCAUUAACGGCCUCAGAUGGCUAUGCACAUGUACCAGGUAACUUAACAAGGCUAUCAAGUUCGUCAACUCGAACUCAUCAUCCCAAGGAUCUCCCACAUAACAUGUACAUUACAGUAAUCACAUUUGAUACACACACUUUGGUGAUAGAGCGGAAGACUUUACAAAACAUACUUUUACAAUUCCAGAUCUCAAGUUUUACAUCAUAGAAAGAGUUGUAAUUAUUACAGGUCUUGAUAGUACUCAAGUGCAUGAAUUAAUACAAGAUUGGGAAAGGUGAGGCCUUUCCAUAAGAAAUAAACUAAGCAUUAAAAUCUUCAAGGCCUCCCCACGAAGCAACUAUUAGGAGCUAAAGAUAGCAAGAAUCCCUCCUGCAACAACAUAGGGAAUAAAACCUUGAGUAUGCAAUUACUCAGCAAGACUUACCCGACUAAAGAAAAGACUCUCAAGGGUAUGCUGGAUUUGGGACUCAAGGUAAAGCUUAUCAAUUAUCGAAGACCCUUUUUUGGCAGAAAAGCUUACUACCAGUUGAUCCCUAAGCCAAGUUUUAUUUCACAAGUUAGGUAUUUACCUACAUCUAGAUUUGCCUAAUCUAGUUCAAGCACUUGGCCUAUACUAGCCGCAUUUUAUUCAUACUCAUAUUUCACUUGCUAUUUACGAUGAUGGUCACCGGGAUGAGUCUCCAUAACCGAGGAGCAACGACGAUUCGAAACGAUUAUACCCAGCUGGGGAUCUCUAACCACACGACAUAUAUAGCACUUAACCCUUGCAUAUGUCAACCGUUCCCACGGAGUCCUCCACUACAUGAACAGGUCCAUGUCACCCGAGAGCACAUUAUCCUACCAGGCGUGCAACUAUGCCAGGAGGAUACAUGCUACUCUCGCCAUCUCUCCACUCCCAGUGCGCGAUUGUCUCUUCACAUAUGGAAUAGCUGGGUUCAAGAUUACCCUGUCCCAUACCAGGGUAUGUGGCUAGUUGUAAAGUCUCAACCACAACAGGCUAGUCAACGGUACGGUCCUUAAUCAACACAGACGGGCGACCAUGUCAGCUCAGCGUCUGGUUCGAUUUAUUCAAACCAUUUCCCAAUUUUUGGUACCCGGCAGGGGUACUCUUUUCGGAUGAUGAACCCAUCCGGAGCCCUGAUGGACUCAUCAUCAUAAGUUUGCUUUCACUUUUGAAUCAAAAGCCCAUAACCAAUGUUACACAUCAUUCUUUUGAAAAACAAAUGAUUUUUGAGUUUCUAAGCAGGACUAAGCAUUAAUAAUUCUUUUUAUAAAACAGGGAUUUAGGAAUUUUCAAGGAAUGGUAAUGCAUCAAUUGUUUAUCACACAACUCCUAUCAUCUAAUGCAUCAUAUCAGGUGAUAAAGCAUUUAAAACACAAGGAAGGGGCAAAUGCACCGGGGCUUGCCUUAUUACAGGAGGAAAUCUGAGAUCUUCUAUUACGAUAAGCAGUUAGAUGGAAUCCACCACUGGAUCAGUAGAACUGGAACAUGCUCCUUCUUCACAAAUCACUUCUUCUGGGUACUCUAUAUGAAAUGCCAUGAUUAUGAAUGCCUGUGUAUGUGCUACUAGCAAGGAAGGUAUUACGAAGCAUUACAAAAUUACAAUUAUAAGCUAUCACCACAAGCCAUAACUGCCAGGGAGCUACUUACUGAACUUCAAUACUCUACACAAACACAGAACGAUGGCGCUGGCCACCCGAAUUUCUUGACUAAAAACCGCAUCAAAUUACAGUCCUAGAAGUUCCAAUCAGAUUUUCUCUCAUUUCCCUAUGCUGGCUUGAUACACUUACUUACUAGGAGUUGCUCUUCUAUGAUCACUCUCCAACUUUAAUUUAAAGGAUACUAGCUAAAACUCAACAGACUUCAGGUUAGAGAGCUCCAAAGUUGGAACUCCAACAAGCUACACAAUUCAGCACCCUCUACCUAACAGAGCAACUUGGAAUAACCUUUUCUCUCAAUUCAAAGCAAGGAUAGGGAGAUCCUUCUUAAAAGAAAUUGCUCCCUAAUAUUAGAUCUUCAAGUUUACUGCAAUGAUCAUCCACCAAAACUUCAAGAAUUGAGACUUAGAAGGGUCCAAAACUGAGAGGAAUUCACGGUUUCUAAAAAUUCAGCAAACUGAAUUACGUUUUAGAUUCUGAAACUGAACUCUACACCAAACUGAACCCCACCUUUAACUUCAUUACUCUUCAUAAUUCCAAACAAUAAUAGUCCAACCUUGACUAAUAAAAUUUGUUUACCAAACAUAUCUGUACAAGUUUGCUGCAACAGCCUUAGGUCAAAGAUUCAUGGAUCAAGAGUUAUAGUGCUCCAAAAAUGGGUUGAGAACACAUAAAAUUCUGUUUCAGCUGACUGAAACUAUAUACUUGUCAGUGGAAGUUUUGAGACGUUUUAUCCAAAAAAAAUUAUAUAGCAGCAAUACCAAUCCUUCACUAACCUUCGAGGAGUAGGGAACGAGCACCACACGACCGACACAACCUCCGAGGAAUCUGGGCCAUGACGAGGGUGAGAACUGCUAUUGUGGUCACCAGACAGGGUGCUGGCGUGCAAGGGUUCAGGGCAGACCAACAGAUGAGGUUGGGGAGAGGGUUAGCACCAGAGUGGGCACAAAAACUACAGCACACUCACUGUGAACCUUGACCAGAGCUCGGGACAGGGAGAAAGUUCCACUAAAGCCAAGCCCUAAGGCACUCAAUAUGUGGGCAAGUACCCUGAACUUGUUCACAACAUAGUGGAGUACUCCCUGGGCGCCAGCACUGCACAAGCUUAC
rnacentral:lncRNA from 1 species